rnacentral:rRNA from 1 species
UACGUAGGUGGCAAGCGUUUGUCCGGAAUUAUUGGGCGUAAAGCGCGCGCAGGCGGUCCUUUAAGUCUGAUGUGAAAGCCCACGGCUCAACCGUGGAGGGUCAUUGGAAACUGGGGGACUUGAGUGCAGAAGAGGAGAGUGGAAUUCCACGUGUAGCGGUGAAAUGCGUAGAGAUCAGGAGGAACACCCGGGGCGAAGGCGGCCCUCUGGCUCGACCCUGACGCUGAGGCGCGAAAGCGUGGGGAGCGAACGGG